UACGUAGGGUGCGAGCGUUGUCCGGAAUUAUUGGGCGUAAAGAGCUCGUAGGCGGCCAUCUAAGUCAGACGUGAAAUCCCUCGGCUCAACCGGGGAACUGCGUCUGAGACUGGAAGGCUUGAAUUCGGGAGAGGGAUGUGGAAUUCCAGGUGUAGCGGUGAAAUGCGUAGAUAUCUGGAGGAACACCGGUGGCGAAGGCGGCGUUCUGGACUGCAACUGACACUGAGAAACGAAAGCCAGGGGAGCAUACGGG
rnacentral:rRNA from 1 species